UCGUAUUAAGCUAUUUGUUCUAAAAUCAAAACACGGAUCCAGCUCUCCCCUCCCAAAUCAAAACUCGCGGCUCUACUAUUCUCCAUUUACUUACUCUUCUCUCUUCCAUUUUCUCCGAUUCUCAGUCUCCUAGAGUUUGCCCCAAGUUUUUGCUUCAAUUCGCCCAGACUUUGCUUCAAUUCCAACUGAAAAUAGGUGUUGGAGCGAGAGGUAUAACACUAAAUGCGAGUGAGUCUACUGACCCCUUCUUCUUUUAUUUUGUAUUUCUAUUUUUAUUUUAUGCAAUUUUUAUUAGACAAACAUCCCAAUUUGGUCAAUCAGGCCGCCGGUGUAAGAAUGUGACAAAUUCCGGGGAUAUUCCUGCAAUAGUGUCGGCUACUUAAUCAUUAUACCACCAACCAAUCCAAUUAUGCCAUGGUACUCUUGAGUGCUAAAUGGUUAAAUGUACAAGGCAUAAAUAUAUGGAGUCUAUUAUAUGGUAGAUGUACUACCAACCUUUGUUUUUUUGACUUGUACUUUGAAUUAAUUAGUAGGUAGAUCAAACAGUUAUAUGGACACCUAAUUUAAAUACUUAAUUUGUAUUCUUAAUGCUAACUAUUUCACGGGACAGUUACCGCUGGAGCUUACUAACCUAACCAAGUUAGUAGAACUGUAAGUAUACCAAUUGCCCUUUGCUAGUAUUAUAUUGGAAAAUUUAAGAUAUGUUUUGUUUUUUGUUUAUCUGUUUUCUGUAACAUUUACGAUUAUUUUUCCUUUUGGCCUAUGCAGUAGGCUAAACAGCAACAAUUUCAUGGGGAAACUACCUAGUUUUCAAAGUUGGAAACAACUUCAAAUGUUGUAAGUUCUCUAAAUUGCAUAUUAUUUUAGUUUGUUCUAACUUAAUAAGAGUUUUGAAAGUAAACUUUGCAAGUGAAAUUUUAAUCCGUUUUAUUUGUGUAAUAACAGAGAGAUUGAAGAUAGUGGUUUUGAAGGGCCAAUACCUUCUAGCAUUUCUGUCUUGAGAAAUUUAACUCAAGUAUAAGCUCUCUGAUUGGUGUUCCUAAGAAGUAUAAGCUCUCUGUUUUAUUUAUUGGCAGAGACCUUAGCUUUAACAGGCUGGAAGGGGAGAUACCAAAUGAUCUUGAAAGCCUAUCAAAUCUGGAGACUAUGUAAGCAAUCAAAAUUAAGGAAGAUCUUUUUAACUUGUGUAGGAAUUCUUUCUAGUUGUUUGAUAUACAUUUUGUCAUAAUGUAUCCAAGUGUGAUGUCACACAUGAAUUGUCCAAUUCAGUUUUAAGUUUUAAUGAACCUUGGUUUAGAUUAAAAAUAAGUAGAGAGAACCAUUUGAACCUUGUUUUAGAUUAAAAAUUAAAAAUAAGUACAGUCUGUGAAGAAGCUAGGCUUGUAGGGCCUGUUUACUCGUGGUCUCCCCCUUCGUAUAGUCAUGAUUGGAAUCCAUAUCGGAGCGCAGUGGGGUAUCUAUGAUGCUUUCAAAGUUUUUGUUGGCCUGUAAGUUCUUUUCGUUGUAUUUGUUGAUUUGCUAUUUCCCAACUUUUCAAAUUUGUUCUUCUAUUUAAUGUGCAAGUCCUGAGUUUUUUUUUUAAAAUUCUAAAAGCAAAUUCAUUUUAUUGGCCCAUUUAUCUUUGUUCCCUGGUUAUUUUGGGGAAAACCUUUUAGAGAUUUUUGUUUUGUUUCUGUUGGGCCAUAAUACUUUUCAUUAUUGGGCCGGACCUAAUGGGCUCCUCCCUUGGACUAUGUUACAUUUAUUCUGUUGGGCCGAAUGGUUUGAACCCAGUUAGUUGAUUAUUCUAUUGGGUCAUUCCGGUCAGAUGAGUCAUCGUUAGUGCAUUGGGCUUAGUCAUUGGAUCGGCCCAUUAUACAAAUUGUCUUUUAUCUCAUCUUUGACCGGCCAUCAUAACAAAGGAUAACAGUUAACUGUUGUCUGCCACCUUUCUGCAUGGCAUUAAUGAGGAUGGGACUCAGAUGACCGGCGGUGGCAAACAGUGGCAGCAGAUAGGGGGUAAGCUGUACACUUUCGGCUGAGGGGACUGGCGUGGUAGAUGACUGUGUCAGGCAGUAGUGGGUAGCACGAUAAACCGGGUUUGGAGGGUGUAUGGGGCAACGAUCAUACGAGGAAGGAAGGUAACAAAACAUUACAACACACAAUCUAAACUAUUAUUCUCUCUCAAGCACUAGACAUUAUUUUCCUCCAUUGUUAACUUUGUGAUCGUCGAUACUGAUUCUCACGCCGUAGCUAUCCCCCGACGGUCAAGCCGUCAAGCUUUUGGUCUUGACUUGUUGAACUGUGUAGGAUAUCGGACGCGUCUUGGUGAUUGGGACGUGAGGAAAAAUCUUGGCGUUAACAGUUUCGAUAGAAGUUUCAUAUGUUGGAUUAUCGUUUCCUAGUCAGGACGACGCAUACGUGAUGUAUAAUACAUAUGCAAGGCAUAAAGGUUAAAAACUUAAAAACACUUAAAAACUUCCAAAAGAUUAAGCUCAAAACGCACUCAAUUCAUGGGUAUAAAAGGUACUCAUUAAUUGUAUGUAUCAAAGUGGAUUUUUUUAAGAUUGUAUAGAUAUUACAGUAGCUUCAUCAGUUGUUUAUGUCAUUUAGGUCUUUUAGCCUUGUUACAUUGUAUAAGUCAUAACUUGAUCCCAUGUUAAAAUCUACAGGUUUUAGUUGAGAGCUCUGCUUGGAGGAGUCUUGGUGCUGAUGAGGAAGAGACGAACUCAAGUUGUCAUUUUGCCAGUGCCAUGUGGAUUGUUGAGAUUGACUUGUCAAGUUGUCAAUUAUCACAUGCUUUUUGCAAGUUGUCUAGCACAUGCUUUCAGUGUAAUAUGAGAUAUUUGUAGUACUAUCUUCCAUAGUAAACAACUGGAAUUGCUUAAUGUUGUUGAGCUGUUUUUGUUUUAAAGACAUGCAUGUUGGUUUCUAAAUUACAUCCAUAUUACUUUUUCAAUGCAGAUCAAUAUUGAGAGAUGUAAUGUGGUUCUCAACAAUCAAUGCAUUCUGGGAGUAUUUAACAGUUGUCAUCUAUUUGAUGUUUUGAUUGGUUCCUUUUUGAAUUUUUGACGAG
rnacentral:lncRNA from 1 species